rfam:Lucilia cuprina strain LS Scaffold38, whole genome shotgun sequence.
GCUGCGAUGUCCGAGUGGUUAAGGAGAUGGACUUGAAAUCCAUUGGGUUUUACCCGCACAGGUUCGAAUCCUGUUCGCAGCG